rnacentral:tRNA from 2 species
CAUUAAGUGACUGAAAGAAAGUAAUGGUCUCUUAAACCAUAAUAUAGUAAUUAACGCUUACUCUUAAUGG